rnacentral:rRNA from 1 species
CCUACGGGAGGCAGCAGUGGGGAAUUUUGCGCAAUGGGGGAAACCCUGACGCAGCAACGCCGCGUGGAGGAUGAAGUCCCUUGGGACUGUAAACUCCUUUCGACCGGGAAGAUAAUGACGGGACCCCAUGAAGAAGCACCGGCUAACUCUGUGCCAGCAGCCGCGGUAAU